rnacentral:rRNA from 1 species
UCCUGGCUCAGAAUGAACGCUGGCGGCGUGCUUAACACAUGCAAGUCGAACGGUAACAGGAGCUAGCUUGCUAGUUUGCUGACGAGUGGCGCACGGGUGAGUAAUAUAUAGAUAAUGUGCCCCUUGGACCGGGAUAGCCAUUGGAAACGAUGAUUAAUACCGGAUACUCCUUCUUACCAUAAGGUAAGUCGGGAAAUGGAUUCCGCCAAGGGAUCGGUCUAUAUCCCAUCAGUUAGUUGGUAGUGUAAGAGACUACCAAGACGAUGACGGGUAGCGGGUUUGAGAGGAUGAUCCGCCACACUGGUACUGAGACACGGACCAGACUCCUACGGGAGGCAGCAGUGAGGAAUAUUGCACAAUGGGGGAAACCCUGAUGCAGCAACGCCGCGUGGAGGAUGACGCAUUUCGGUGUGUAAACUCCUUUUAUAUGUCAAGAAAAUGACGGUAGCAUAUGAAUAAGCACCGGCUAACUCCGUGCCAGCAGCCGCGGUAAUACGGAGGGUGCAAGCGUUAUUCGGAAUCACUGGGCGUAAAGGACGCGUAGGCGGGUUGGAAAGUCAGAUGUGAAAUCCUACAGCUUAACUGUAGAACUGCAUUUGAAACUUCCAAUCUAGAGUAUGGGAGGGGGAGAUGGAAUUAGUGGUGUAGGGGUAAAAUCCGUAGAUAUCACUAGGAAUACCGAAAGCGAAGGCGAUCUCCUGGAACAUAACUGACGCUAAGGCGUGAAAGCGUGGGGAGCAAACAGGAUUAGAUACCCUGGUAGUCCACGCCCUAAACGAUGUUCACUAGUCGUCGGGAUGCUAGUCAUCUCGGUGAUGCACUUAACAGAUUAAGUGAACCGCCUGGGGAGUACGGUCGCAAGAUUAAAACUCAAAGGAAUAGACGGGGACCCGCACAAGUGGUGGAGCAUGUGGUUUAAUUCGAAGAUACGCGAAGAACCUUACCUAGCCUUGACAUUGAGAGAACCUGCCAGAGAUGGCGGGGUGCCCUUCGGGGAGCUCGAAAACAGGUGCUGCACGGCUGUCGUCAGCUCGUGUCGUGAGAUGUUGGGUUAAGUCCCGCAACGAGCG